AUGAAAAUUCAGAUAAAACAACUGAUUCCCACCAAGAAUCUUCAAAAACAACUGCAAUUGGAGGACAAAUGCUCCACGUCCCCUCUGCCAGUUGGCGCUUAUCAAGGGACGGCGGAGAAGAGGGACCAAGUGCCAGGCAAAUGCUUGCCAAUAUUUUCCUCAUAUUUAAUGCAAUUGACCACAUGUUCUCUUUGGAUUUAUCGUGAAUCAAGAAGUCAUUUGUAUGCUCCAGAACAAAGGUGCCAAUGAAGUUGCCCAAUGGAAAAAAAAAAAAAAACAGUGUUCCAGAAUUUUCCUUUGUACAGUUGUCACCUGAAAAGACAUCUGAGAG
rnacentral:lncRNA from 1 species